UUAUUGUUGCUUAUUGGAAUGAUUCAAUAGCCAAAGACUUGGAGAGGAUAGACUUACAUAAUUGUGUGAACCCUUAAAUAAUUGCAGAGUAUUCUGCUUCCAAAACCAUGGAUCCCAAGAUAGCUUUAUUGUCUUUUGUGGUUUCUCCUCUGAUGUUGUAGCUGACUGGAUAGACCCUUGAUUUCUGUUUCCUUAUCUGUUGAACUUGCUGGGCUUUGCAUUAGACCCUAAAAUUUGAUACCUGUCUGAAAAGAAAUCCAAGCCAAAAUUUUGUUUUCCAUGAUUUAUUGUGUUGGGUAUUUCUGUUACUGUUGGUCUGAGGGCCCACAUGCGAGAUUGCCUUUCAGUUAAGAUGUUCUCCUGUCAGUACUUAGUGCUUCCACAAUGAAAAUGAAGGUUGCCUGAUGGUUACACAAGCAGAAGACUAGUUAUUACCAUUCCCAAUAUAAUGUCAAUUUGUUGUUCUGCUUUGAGAUAGGCUUGGCUUUCUGCCCAUGCCUUCAGUCAUUACAAAUUGCUCUUUGUAACUUGACAAAGCAGCCAAAUAAUAAGAAUUUUCUUGCUAAUUUAUGUAAACCUUCGUGAUACUGUGGUUCUGAAGUGAAUGUUCCAAAUUUUUUUUUUCUAGAAUAUUAAUUACCAUGUAGUCCUACAGUAAGGAUAAGCCAUGACCUUCAGUAAUGAUUCAAAUAAAACUGAAUUAAGUUAUUUUUCCCUUAGUAGUACCAGUUUGGUCAACCUGGGUAUUUUGGUAGUUUUCAAAUGAUAUGCUAUCUUUUUAAGAAUAGAAAAAUUAUAAUAGAAAUAUCUUCUGUACUCCUUGUACUUCUCAUGAGUGUUCCCUUAAGAAAGGAGAGCAAUCUGUUAGCUUAGGCUCCCUGUUUGGUGCUGUUGCUGAAGAACAGUUUGUAGCUUUUUAUGUUCCUAAGGGGAGGAGAGAGUACUGAAAAAGAAGUGGGUUUGUGCUUUUUAUUUAAAUCAUGAUGUUACAUCUGGAAACUUGUUGUAAUGUAAAUUAUUCCAUGAGUGUAUAUAAUGUAGCUUUUGAUACUUGCUUAAAUUGACUUUAAAACCAGGUAUUUAAUGUAAACACAGUAAUGCAAUAUUUAAAUCUACCUAUUGCAGCUCUUUGUGGGAAGAAGUUCACAUUCUUGCUUUAAAGAAUAUUUUAUCUUACAAUGCUAAUAAUUAAAGGAAAAUUGAAACUAAAAUUAAAGAAACACCAACUUAUUGUGUGUUCUAACAAGAAGAAUUAACUCAGGGAUUCUGCUAGUUCACGUAAAGGCUAUGUCUGUCUUUGCUCGUAUUCUGAUGUGGAGAGUGCAGUGCAGUAAAGCUUUCCAGGUUUGUGGGUUGAGUUAUGGAUCUUAAAGGCAAAUAACUUAGGUUCCUGUUAUUGCUACUUCUCUUGCACAGACUGAACAUUUGACUGCGUGUAUUCAAAUUUGUCACAGCAGACAUAAAUUCAGAAAUGUCUGGGACAAUAUGAUAACCUUAAGAAUCAUACAGUGCUCUAAAAAUUACUUAGUAGAUGAGUUUUUUUUUCAAGUAUCCAUUACUUAUUGGUUUGUAUACUGUACCCUUGAAUUUUACAUGGAUAUUUUGUGCUGUUGUGUAUUCCAGAAUUUCCUUGACUGUUACGGAUAAGACUCAGCGAUGACAGAAGAUAAAAUGCUCCGUGCAGAGUUUUUGCCUCUGGGUGGAAUGAACAGUCCUGAGCACAGGAUUCAAGAGUAUGAAGUAGGAAAACUGUAGAAAGUCCUGCUGUGCAGAAGCAAAGAACUGGUAUGUUUCCAGUAGAUGAGCCAGUGGAGCAUUUUCAAGAAGCCAUGCAUUUAAAUAUCUCAACUAGAUGGGAAAGUCAC